GAUGAACGCUGACAGAAUGCUUAACACAUGCAAGUCCACUUGAAUUUGGGUUUUUAACUUAGGUUUGGGUGGCGGACGGGUGAGUAACGCUUAAAGAACUUGCCUCACAGCUAGGGACAACAUUUGGAAACGAAUGCUAAUACCUAAUAUUAUGAUAAUAGGGCAUCCUAUAAUUAUGAAAGCUAUAAGCGCUGUGAGAGAGCUUUGCGUCCCAUUAGCUAGUUGGAGAGGUAACGGCUCACCAAGGCGAUGAUGGGUAGCCGGCCUGAGAGGGUGAUCGGCCACAAGGGGACUGAGACACGGCCCUUACUCCUACGGGAGGCAGGAGUGGGGAAUAUUGGACAAUGGACCGAGAGUCUGAUCCAGCAAUUCUGUGUGCACGAUGAAGUUUUUCGGAAUGUAAAGUGCUUUCAGUUGGGAAGAAACAAAUGACGGUACCAACAGAAGAAGUGACGGCUAAAUACGUG
rnacentral:rRNA from 1 species